AAAUGUGUCAUCUUUAAAUAUAUUUAUUAAAAUAUUUAGAAUAUGAAACAAGGAAUAUUAAAAUAUGUUUUAAUAUUAAAGCACUGCAUUUUACUAAAGGCUAUUUAAACUAUAGUUUCCUUAUACUAAAGCAAGAAUCUGGUAUAACUUUGCUUUCCUAGUUGAUACGAAGCCAACUCAUUAAUUUUCCCAACAUUACUUCUUUCCUUCUUUGGGAGGACAGCUGUGUUUGACGACUUCUUGUUGACUCUUCAACAAUUUUUAUUUGACUGAGGUUCCUGAAAUGACUUUCUCAGGACCCCACCUUGACUAUCUUGUUAGAAAGAGGAGUUAAGUGUUCUGUACACAGCACUGAGGACAUUUGGCAGGUCUGAGCUCUUCAUUUUCUUUGGUAUGAAUUUCAUCGAUUAAAGCAAAUUUGCCCCAAUCUCAUUGGCCAUGUCGACUGACCUAAACUCCACAAAGUGAGAGUUGGGAGUUAUGUUUUAUUUGGAGCAAAAUGAGGGCUGUAUCCCAGGAGACAGCAUUCAGAUAGCUCUGAGGAACCACUGGGAAGAGGCAGGCGGGAAGGUCCAUAUUAGAGAGGAUUUCAGUGAAGGGGCAGGUGCGGUCAAGGGCACAUUUAGGCAGGGGCUUGCUGCUAGUCAGGAGGAGAUGAUGUCACAGUUACUGGUUUUAGUGUCCUCCUUGGCAUGAGAUAUGAGCAAGCAUUGGGCUCCUGAAACCUUCUCCUGAAGGCCUGUUCUGCCACGUUUCCCGCAGAGCCCAGGGUGCCUCCUUCCUGAUCUCCACCCUGAACUCCUUUUAGGGCCUGUUGCAGCCUAGAGGUUGCAGGCUAAUGUUUAACCCAGGCAGAGGUGGAUUCCAAGUGCCCACAUGACUCCCGACUUGAGAAGGCAGACGCAAGUGCCAAUUUUUAUGCCAGCAACCUGAAGGCUUCCUUUCUUAAAACUCUCAGCGAUUUGGGAGUGCAGGGUCAAUUCUGGUCUUUAUUUAACAUUUUCCUUUUUGUUGUUCCUUUUGUACAUUGUACAAUUUCAUUUAUUUAUGUUGCAUUAAAAUAUUGUUUCUCUUGUUCCGUCGAUUUGAUGCCUGCUCGCAAUCAAUGCUUGAGGGAAGAUUUUCCUUUCUUUACCCUUAUAUUAACCCAGGAAAUAGUUUUGAAUUCAUUUUAUGAUCAUUCCUAGCUAAAAAUUUAGGAAAGUCCCAUUUCUCCAACCCCUCUACCCCAUGUGUACUUCUUCUUUCAAUUAAAAAUUUUUAAUUGAAGUAGAGUCAGUUUACAAUGUUAUACCGUCCUACAGCAUAAUACUCAGUCAUACAUACACGCCCGUGCAUAUUUCUGAACCGAUUUCCUACUCUUUCAGACUGUUUUCUUUUUCAAGUCUGUGUUUUAAACUAGUUUUCCCAGAGGUGAUCUGAGAAUAACUGCGGAUGAGGGACAGGACUGUUUACCUGCAUUAGAUGCCUCACACACAACAGCCGUUUUUGUCAGACAGCUCUUCUAGAUGCUGGGUGUCUGCAAAAUACACCACAUGCUGUAAGAUUUCUCUCCAUACUAUACCAGGCACUGUUCUAAGUGUGGAGACCUGGGCUCUGCUCCCUCACAGUCCCGCGGGCAGUGCGGCUCCUGGAGCUUGCAUUUGGGGGCCUCCCCGUGCAGACCCCUGACAGUGUGACGGGAGCUGCAGCCAGAGCCACUCUGGGCUGGGCUGGGCUGGGCUGGGCUGGGCUGGGCUGGGCUGGGCUGAGCGGGGACCGGACAGCUUCCUGGGUGUUGUAUUCAUGCUCCAGGCAGCUGUCAUUCACUCUGUUCUCUCUCAGCCUGUAUUUUGCAAACUUUAUUUCAUUCCAUCUUUAUAAUUUCCCUGGUGAGCACCGCUGAACUUGUCUUGAUGUUUUGAAAGACACAAUGAAAGUCACCAGUCAUUUAAGUCAGGAGGCACAGCUUUUGUCAGAGUGGAGGCUCCUGCUGCUCCCAGGCCCUCCUGGUCAUCAGCUGUGAGCCCUUGCCCUCAGCUGCCCUGAUGCUGCUGGGGCCUCCUUCAUCCUCACCCUGCCUCUCAUGUCUGUCUUCCCGGCUCCCUGGACCGCAGUCACCGUCCCUGUCUUCCUCUCCUGGAAUCCACAUUGCCAAGCACAUUGUCACAUAUGUGUGCAGUUAGCCUACGUUGGUGACAAAAUGAAGAGAAGGUUAUGGAUUAAACCUUGCUGUUAACAUUUAUGCCCCUAUUAUACAUAGACAGUGUCCAGAAAUGUGAGCUAUGUCUUCUGUAAAGACAUGCAGAGGAUUCAAAUCUAAUGCCUUAGACCGUAAAAGGGAAAUGCAGAGAGCGUAACAAUACAUACGAGGUAUUGAAGCUGUGACAUUAUCUUCUGCUGAAAAAUGGAAGAGAAACUGGAAAAAGUGGAAACAAACAUGGGACAAGCAGAGAAACGACAACCUUGUUCCGUUGAAGACUCUCCCGUGCAGGAAGGUGCUCAGAGGAGCUGGGUGAAGGCUGCACAGCUGAUCAGCUACAUCACCAGGCUCAGCAGGGGCUGCCAGCCUCCUCACUGAGGACCUGGAGGGCGGUCUGCUCUCCAGGUCUGUCCACACCCUUAGCUGUAACCCGGCCCAGAAGCAUGGCCCGCCAGAGCCGGAGACCGUCACAGUUCUGCACCAAAUGAGAGACUCUUCCUUGUUUCCCUGCCUGGAGGACGAGCAUGUUUUCUAGUUCCCCCAGAACCAGCUGGACAGCAGCCGGUUCCCAAGCGCUCAGGCCACCUCUUCUUUCAUGAGAUGCUCCAGCAGGCCUUCAGCCUCUUCAGCCCAAACAGCCUAAAUCCCUCACUGGGCUGCAUCAGCAGAGGGAGGCUCUGGAGACCAGUCUGGAGCAGGAGGUGGGGAGGAAAAUACCCCCUGGGCAGUGAGGACUCCAGCCAGACUUUGAAGAGCUCCUUCCAAGACCCCCGCUCGAUGUGGGAAGAAAGCACAGAGCUACUGUGCCCGGGACUCUGUCAAACUGGAAGUUAAGAUGAGAAAGUCAGUAUGUGCUCUCGCUGUGUUAUCAUCUCCGAGAAAACCCCGGAGCUGGAAAGGAGACCUGCGCCCAGCCUUUCACCGCUUAGUCUUAGCGCCUCCUGUGUGGCCUCAAGCGGGUCAAUAUUCACACAAUUCAAGGCCCUUUGUUCUUCAGUUGUAAACGCACUGAGUCAUCCCGGCAGAUUGUUUUGCAAUACUUAGAGGAAACUAUACUUUGAAUCGGGAAACUCUGUAUUUUAAAUUUGUAAUAAAUAGAAAUUUUUUUCUAUGCUGAUUGUUGUAUUUAUGGAAUUUCCUCAUCGCAUUGUAUGGUCAGCUUUAUGAUCUUGUUUCCCUUGUCUUUGGGGGUUUCAAAGGUAUAUUUUAAAUUUUAGUUCUUACUCAUACUCUUAAAGACAUACAAAGUGUCCUUAAAGAUUGAAUCUGCCUUAAAAUCCAAGUGGAACAUAGUUUUAUUCAUCUCAUUGAGUUUUAAAAAAAUUUCAGUUAUCUCUGCACCCAGUAACUGACUUGUGAGUAUAAUGGUAGAUAAACUCUUCUUCUU